UACGAAGGGGGCUAGCGUUGCUCGGAAUCACUGGGCGUAAAGCGCACGUAGGCGGACUCUUAAGUCGGUGGUGAAAUCCUGGAGCUCAACUCCAGAACUGCCUUCGAUACUGGGAGUCUCGAGUCCGGGAGAGGUGAGUGGAACUGCGAGUGUAGAGGUGAAAUUCGUAGAUAUUCGCAAGAACACCAGUGGCGAAGGCGGCUCACUGGCCCGGUACUGACGCUGAGGAGCGAAAGCUAGGGGAGCAAACAGG
rnacentral:rRNA from 1 species